GACGAACGCUGGCGGCGUGCUUAACACAUGCAAGUCGAACGGUAAGGCCCUUCGGGGUACACGAGUGGCGAACGGGUGAGUAACACGUGGGUGAUCUGCCCUGCACUUCGGGAUAAGCCUGGGAAACUGGGUCUAAUACCGGAUAGGACCACUGCCUGCAUGGGUGGUGGUGGAAAGCUUUUGCGGUAUGGGAUGGGCCCGCGGCCUAUCAGCUUGUUGGUGGGGUGAUGGCCUACCAAGGCGACGACGGGUAGCCGGCCUGAGAGGGUGACCGGCCACACUGGGACUGAGAUACGGCCCAGACUCCUACGGGAGGCAGCAGUGGGGAAUAUUGCACAGUGGGCGCAAGCCUGAUGCAGCGACGCCGCGUGAGGGAUGACGGCCUUCGGGUUGUAAACCUCUCUCAGCACCGACGAAGCGCAAGUGACGGUAGGUGCAGAAGAAGGACCGGCCAACUACGUGCCAGCCGCCGCAGUAA
rnacentral:rRNA from 1 species